GCAAUACAUUUCGCUCCCCAGCGGCGGCGGCCACAGCCACACGCCCACACGUCUCGCGCGGGAUCUAAUUCGAAACAGCACUGCCCUUUCUUCUACGGUUCCCCAAGGGCACGCUCUCUCCCUCGCGGCGACUACUGGGCGACCGCUGCCGCUGCCCAGGUGCCCAUCGGUCCGUUCGCCAGGUCUUCUUCGGGCUCUUCGCCGCCGACAAGCGCUGCCAGGUUGCUGUGUUAAGUCCAAACUUGUCACAUGGAUUCAACACAAGAUUUCCAACCCAGGACAUUCUCUAUAAAGUUGUGGCCACCAAGUGAGAGCACACGGCUCAUGCUUGUUGAGAAGAUGACAAAGAAUCUGUCCACAGAGUCCAUUUUCUCUCGCAAGUAUGGUCUUUUGGGCAAGCAAGAGGCUCAUGAGAAUGCAAAAAGGAUUGAAGAACUUUGCUUUGCCUCGGCUGAUGAGCAUUUCAAAAGGGAGCCAGAUGGUGAUGGGAGUUCUGCUGUCCAGCUAUAUGCAAAGGAAACGAGCAAGCUGAUGUUGGAAGUUCUGAAAAAAGGCCCAAGCACUACUGCAGAACUGGAGACACCUGUAGCUGAUACACCUCUUGUGCCUGCUGAUACUGUACUGGAUAUAUCUGGUGGCAAGCGUGCUUUUAUUGAGGCAGAUGAAGCAAAGGAACUGCUGAGUCCACUCACCAAACCAGGAAAUUCGUAUAAAAGAAUUUGCUUUAGCAACAGGAGCUUUGGUAUUGGUGCUGCUAAUGUUGCAGGGCCAAUUCUUGAGGCAGUUAAGAAUCAGCUCACAGAGGUUGAUAUCUCAGAUUUUGUGGCAGGAAGGCCUGAGGAUGAAGCACUUGAUGUGAUGCGCAUAUUCUCCAAAGCGUUAGAGGGUUCUGUCCUGAGAUAUCUGAACAUCUCUGACAAUGCUUUGGGUGAGAAGGGUGUCAGGGCAUUCAGUGAGCUCCUGAAAUCACAGGAAUCCCUGGAAGAACUCUAUGUGAUGAAUGAUGGUAUAUCAGAGGAAGCUGCAAAAGCUCUAUCUGAGCUUAUUCCUGCAACUGAGAAGCUCAAGGUUCUUCACUUCCACAACAAUAUGACUGGAGAUGAAGGUGCUAUGUAUAUCGCUGAGAUGGUUAAGCGUUCUCCAAAUGUAGAGAGUUUCAGGUGCUCAGCAACAAGGAUAGGAUCUGAUGGUGGAGUCGCAUUGUCUGAGGCAUUAGGGACAUGCACUCGUCUGAAGAAACUUGAUCUCAGGGACAACUUGUUUGGUGUUGAUGCAGGGUUAGCUCUCAGCAAAACCCUUUCAAAGCUUCAUGAUCUUGUUGAACUUUAUCUCAGUGAUCUCAAUCUUGAGAAUGAGGGCACAAUAUCAAUUGUCAAAGCCCUCAAACAGUCAGCACCGCAGUUGGAGGUCCUUGAAAUGGCAGGAAAUGAAAUAAAUGCCAAAGCAGCCCUAGAUUUGGCAGAAUGCCUAACAGCAAUGCAAUCACUGAAGAAGCUGACCUUGGCUGAAAAUGAACUGAAGGAUGACGGUGCUGUGAUUAUUGCAAAAUCAUUGGAAGAUGGCCACACAGAUCUCAAGGAACUUGAUGUGAGCACGAACAUGCUGCAGAGGGUUGGAGCUCGGUGCUUUGCGCGGGCAGUCGCAGAUAAACCAGCUUUUGUGCAACUGAACAUCAAUGGAAAUUUCAUCUCCGAUGAAGGGAUUGAUGAGGUGAAGGAAAUUCUGAAGGCUGGUAAGAAAUCCCUGGAUGUUCUGGGCUCACUAGAUGAGAAUGAACCUGACGGGGAGCCUGAUGAUGAGGAAGAGGACGAGGAUGCUGAGGACAAUGAGGACGAGCUGGAUUUGAAGCUACAGAGCGUGAAGGUUGAGCAGGAUGAUUGACCAAGUUGGUUUUAAGAUGCUACCCACUUCCCCAACAUUUUUUUGGGUGACUGCGCUUUAGUAGUUGACCUACUACUAUAAGGUUCCACCAGUUACCUGAAUUUGACCAAGGGAAAUGUCCUGGGCUCACUAGAUGAGAAUGAACCUGACGGGGAGCCUGAUGAUGAGGACGAGGACGCUGAGGACAAUGAGGAUGAGUUUGAUUCGAAGCUGCAGAGUGUGAAGGUUGAGCAGGAUGAUUGACCAUUCUUAGGUUAAAUAUCUUUAGCGCUAACUGUUUUUUGUUGCAAUGUGCUGUAGAACUUAUGUGGUGGAUGCACUCAACCCACGCUGCAAUAAAGUAGUCUUUGGCCUCAAAACAUAUGUUAUGAAUAUCAACCAGCCAGAUCCUGAGAUCCAUGAAGAUUAACUCAUUAUAUUGGUCUGGAUGCGCUCCUGUGAGCUGGGUUUU